GAAGCACAGAUUAGCUGACAGCAUUUAUUCCCAGAAAGAAGAAAGAGGACAACAAGAAGGAAACAAAAUAAUUUACUCAGAUGUCAUCACAAUAAGUUUAACAAAAUAGACAGCAAUUGAUUUCAUCUCAACUUCUUUAUUACAAGGUGGUGCUAUUUCAGGAAGCUGCUGCUUACUGUGACAGGGUGCACUUGCUCUGUACUGGUACCGCAAGGGUUAACUCCACUCUCUGGGCAGAGGAGGCCAUGCCCCAUGACCCUGCUAGGCAUGCUCUGGCUGUAGACUAGGUAUAAAAGGGAGCAGCUCAGCUCAUUCAAGGCUGACCACCGAGGACAGAGGAUGCACGCUGCGAGUUCCAGCCCAGGAACUAUAGAAGCCCCUGACAGCAGAAGCCAGAGAUGCUGAGAUGUGGAGGACACCCCAGGAGUGGUGGAGCAGUUGGGAGCCAUACCGACUGAAGAGCCCAGAUCCCUUGGAGACGCUGCAACCCCGGCAUUAGAAACCGGUGAUGCUGGCUGUACCUUUCCCAGAUCUGAAGAAGAGCUCUAUGUGCCUUGAAAGCUUCUCUCUCUCACCAACAGAUGUUGGUCCGAUAAAAGAUAUUAUCUCACCCGCUUUGUCUCUUUAAUGGCAAAACACC